CUUCAGAGUUCAUUAUAUGACUGAAACUGCUCCCUCCAGAGCUAAGGCCCAGCAAGCAAGCUAUGUCCUGAGGUUGGCAUGACAACAAU
rnacentral:lncRNA from 1 species